UGUAUGUUAUUGUGUUUCAUUGGUUCUGUUUUAUGUCUCUGUGUGACAGGAGGCCAUGCAGCAGUGGUACCAACACUACCAUGCACAGAACUAUGGCAACUCUAGCCAAGAGACAGCUGCAGUUACUGAAUGCACAAAAGAGCAACCUCAGGUGGUGGUCACCUCCUCAUACGGAGACUACAGUUCCUACAUGCAUGCUGUCAGUCAGUACUAUUCUCAGACGCAGAUGAGCCAGACAGCUGCUCAAGUCUACCAGCACCGAGAUGUCAGCAAGAGUCAGGCUAGAGGGCAGAAGCGAGAAUACCCCACACUGCCGACACAGGAAGUGACAUCAGAGGGACCGUAUGUAGGCCAGCACUCACAGGGUCUUGGGGGCCAGUACGCCGACUACUUCAAGAAGAAGAGGAUCUAACUCGUAUGUUGCCGUUGUCAUGUCCAGGCCUUAACUUGUAGUCUAUUACUGAUAUUUAUGAAAAGAUUGUACAAUUUAUUGUACGUAAGGAGGUUUAUUCCUCUUCUUGAACUGUAUGUGGAUCUGGGUACUGUUGUUAUUUCUGUCCGACGCCAGGCGGGACCUCUUAAGAUUGCUCUGACUCUGUCCCAAAUGAUGCAUUAAGAUAAUUGAUAUAUCUCUUUUUCUGUUCUGCCUGUUUACCUCUCCCCCAGGCGGGACGUACCAUUCCACUCCAGAGGGGGGGUUUAUGUGUCCGUGUUUAACUGUACAAACGGUUAAGGGCUGAUAAAGAUUGAGCUACACUCAGAGAAUAACAAUUUUCAAAGAUUUUUUUUUUCUGACAGGGUAGGGCAUA
rnacentral:lncRNA from 1 species